UACGUAGGGCGCAAGCGUUGUCCGGAAUUAUUGGGCGUAAAGAGCUCGUAGGCGGUUUGUCGCGUCUGCUGUGAAAACCUAAGGCUCAACCUUGGGCUUGCAGUGGGUACGGGCAGACUAGAGUGUGGUAGGGGAGACUGGAAUUCCUGGUGUAGCGGUGAAAUGCGUAGAUAUCACUCGGAAGGCCAAAGGCGAAGGCAGGUUACUGGUACGCAACUGACGCUGAGGCACGAAAGCGUGGGGAGCAAACAGG
rnacentral:rRNA from 1 species